GAAUUCGAUUCAGGCCUAACACAUGCAAGUCGAGCGGUAGAGAUUCUUCGGAAUCUUGAGAGCGGCGUACGGGUGCGGAACACGUGUGCAACCUACCUUUAUCUGGGAGAUAGCCUUUCGAAAGGAAGAUUAAUACCCCAUAAUAUAUUGAUUGGCAUCAAUCGAUAUUGAAAACUCCGGUGGAUAGAGAUGGGCACGCGCAAGAUUAGCUAGUUGGUGAGGUAACGGCUCACCAAGGCAAUGAUCUUUAGGGGGCCUGAGAGGGUGAUCCCCCACACUGGUACUGAGACACGGACCAGACUCCUACGGGAGGCAGCAGUGAGGAAUAUUGGACAAUGGGUGCAAGCCUGAUCAAGCCAUCCCGCGCGAAGGACGACUGCCCUAUGGGUUUAAAAGUCUUUGUACAGGGAUAAACCUACCCUC
rnacentral:rRNA from 1 species